rnacentral:rRNA from 1 species
AAUGGGCGCAAGCCUGAUCCAGCAAUGCCGCGUGUGUGAAGAAGGCCUGCGGGUUGUAAAGCACUUGCAGUGGGGAAGAACGGAUGCGGGCCAAUACCCCGGAUCACUGACGUUACCCACAGAAGAAGCACCGGCUAACUCCGUGCCAGCAGCCGCGGUAAUACGGAGGAUGCAAGCGUUAUCCGGAAUCACUGGGUUUAAAGGGUGCGUAGGCGGCCUGUCAAGUCAGGGGUGAAAUGUCUUCGCUUAACGAAGAAAUUGCCUUUGAUACUGUCGGGCUUGAAACAGGUUGAGGUUGGCGGAAUGUUGCAUGUAGCGGUGAAAUGCAUAGAUAUGCCAUAGAACACCGAUUGCGUAGGCAGCUGGCUGGACCUGGAUUGACGCUGAGGCACGAAAGCGUGGGUAGCGAA